rnacentral:misc_RNA from 1 species
AAUUAGCAAGUAAACUGUGUCCUCUGAAAGAUGAACCAUGGCCUAUACAUCCUUGGGAACCAGGUUCCUUUAGAGUUGGUCUUAUUGCCUUGAAGCUGGGCAUGAUGCCUUUAUGGACCAAGGAUGGUCAAAAGCAUGUGGUCACAUUACUUCAGGUACAAGACUGUCAUGUCUUAAAAUAUACGUCAAAGGAAAACUGUAAUGGA